rnacentral:tRNA from 1 species
AAUUUCUUACGACAAGACAGUAUCUUGAAAAUACUGGAAAAAGGUUAAAUUCCUUUAGAAAUUU